CUGUAACCAUUCUACUACCAUUUCUUCGGGAGAGAUUUGAAGAAGUGGUCGUAUUACCCAAAUCCGUCAUUCUGUAAGUGACAAAGAUGGUGGAAGUGUUGAGGAUCCUAUAGAACAUGAUGAAUUUCACCUUUUGUUCAUACAAAUGAUAUUAUCCAGCCUUUGGAAGACACGCCUAUUGAAGACGAUGUACUAUAUUCUUCUUUUCUUUUCUGAACAACUUGAUCCUCCUGCUGAUCCAGUUAUUACAAAUGAGGUUGGGAUCAAUUUUUUUUAUUUUUC
rnacentral:lncRNA from 1 species